GAGAAAUUCCCUUUGGGUAGAGACCCUGUUGGUUCACCUUGGUCCGCCUGGCGCUGGAGAAGAAAGCGGUGCACGUCGGGACACGGCGGUUCCCACAAUGCCCAGCGUCUUCGCUGUCCUCGUGACUUCCAGAGAGGCUGUUGCUCUGUUGGGCUCUGCUGGCCUCUGGCCUUCUGCUGCCGCCCGCCAUUUACAUCUCGGUUACCCCCUCCUUGGUGGGCAGCCGCUGAGCAUCAGCCGGAGGGGAGGUGUGCGGCGGCCCUGGGGCUCGCCCGCGGCCUGGGACCAGGGACUCGUGAGCCGAGGCCGACGGCUCCAGAAACGAGGGGCAAGAAGGGCGGCUGCUCGCGGAUCAAGCGCCAAGGCCCAAAGCUGCUCUCGGCCGCCUGCUGAUCUUCCCAGGUUGCUUGGCGGGAGCUUAAUCGCUCCUAAGCCGGGCAGCAGGACGCAGGCCCAGCCUUUCCACCUGGUGGCCGCGGCCGGCUGGGAGGCACAGAGGUACGCUGGGAGAGGGCGGCAGGCGCCGUGAGAUCAGAGGCAGCCAACGCUGAAUGGGGGGAGGCAAAACAAGACCCUGAACGAGAGGACUCGGCCUGGAGGAGCAGCCCACCGUCCCGCUCCCCUGGCGAGCUCGCCCGCCCGCCCGAGCCCGGUGGGGGAGGGGUGCGCUGGGGCGCCUGCAGCCUCCGGCCUCCUCCUUUGCGCCUGGGGGGAGGGCAGGCCAGCCGGAGCCGCUUGGGUUGCUGCGCCCUCUGCUCUGUCUGCUCUAGGGUGCUAUGCGAAGACCGUCCCGGCUGUACCCCAGCGCGUGCUGCAAGCUGCUGUUGGCCUUGGCGCUGAAGGCCUUGGCGGGGCUCCUUCUCCUUUGGAGGACCAUGUGGUUUGCCUUGCUCUGCUACAAGCUUGCCUGGGAAGGUGCCUUCCACCGCCUGCAGCAGGUCUGUUCUACCAUGACUUUGUGGUUAGAGGUCCCUGGGGACCCCCAGGAAGAGGACAGUCUCUCCUCUCCGCCUGGAGGCCUUUGGCUGCAAGGGGCAGGUGCCACAACGCUGGAGCAGGAAGUGCAACGGCUACAGGAGUCCAGCAGCUCGGCGCUGCGCCGUCUGGAGGAGCUGGAGAGCUCCAUGCAGCACCUUAGCCAGGACCUUCGCUGCGAGAAACUCCUGUGGAGCAGCCGCUACCUGGAACUGCUGAGGGAGCAGCAGGGACUGCUGGUGCAGUUGCAAAGGCAGGACCAGGUGAGCCGGUGGCAGGAUGCAGACGGGCCCAGCGAAAGCUGUGGGGGCACUGCUGGCUGGAGGCCCUGGAGUCCGGAGGCUGAGGGUACUGAUGGCGAGAGAGACUCAGGGGUGGAGCAGAGAAGGCGAAGUGCUUCCUCGUCCCGCUGAGACUGGGCAGAAGAAGACUCACCGUGCGCGAUGGUCCUUCGCUGCUGCUCCGGGUGGCUUUGCUGUCGCAGCCUUGCNUGGGGAGAGCGGGUCUCCAGCGGGUCUCCCAGACGCUCUGCGUUCCGCCUGCAGGAGUGUAGGGGCUUGCUGAGAAGAUUAAUGACGCCCUUGUGGACAUGAACGAGCCCAGGAUUGGAAAUGUGGGCAGAUGUGGACUGGGGGAGGGGAGUGGUCCAUGCUCUGCUGCCCAAACCUGUUCAGGCUGUUUCCAGCACCCCGUGCCCCAACCAGAGAACCAAACCCCGUAGUUCUCCUGGCAUUAUACUGGGAAGGCUGGACACUGCGGUGGUGUGCCCGAUACAGUCCUGGGCUGAUCAGGCAGUAGCCCAAUGUGCCGCACUUGUGGGAAUCUGGCCACGAGGCUGCGCACCUGUAUUAGUUCCCCUUACUUUUCAUGUCUGCUGGCAGCUUCUUCAGCAAGCUCGCAUGGGGCUACAAGAAGCNGGCCAAGCGUGCAAAAAAUGGCAAACGGAAGUGGGCAGGCGGGCGCUAGGCCGGAGGCGAUUCUGCUCAAAUGCCAGCGGGCUUUUCUGCAGUUGUUCCAACCGAGGAACAAAAGUCCUGAGAUUCCUCUGGCGUAGAUUCCAGCUCUGGGUGGCCACAGUUGCUGCCCGUAGGCUUGUCUGACUGCUGCUGGGCGGACCCUGAGCUCCAUGGCAGGUGACUCCUUUGGGCCACGGGAGGGGACGGCUGCUGGCUGGCCAGACACCCACCAGAAUCAGGGGGAGUGCGGCCCACUCAGGUGCUGAGGGACAUGGAGCGGAAAGGCUGAUUUGGUCAGCCCCCGCGUGGAAAGUGGCAGCUCCCUCAUCUGUCCUGGAGCUGCCAGANGGGCCCCUUCGUGAGGUGCUGAAACCCAUUAUUUCCCGUUUGCGUGAGACACGUGCCAGGUCCCCCUCACCACNCCGGACGGUGGGGCACAGUGUGUGGAGACUGACAGGCAGGGCUGCCAGCUGCAUGGGGGCCCCAGAUAGGCCCCAACCCCACUGGUCCACCUGGCCAAGACCAUUGCCGCNGGAGCAUUUGCCAAGGCCUGUAUUUACCCAGUGCAGCCCCAAGGGGGCAGCAGCUGUUCGUUUUGAGAAGAUUCACGUCUGCGUUGUCUUUUGAUCCCUGUUUAUGUCCUGAGAUGGGAGCCUGUGAAAAGUCUUUGGCCUCCUAGCGGGUGGACGAACCNUUAGAGACACUGGUUUGAAUAAACGUACCAUGGCCCUUCUUAAGAAUCUCA
rnacentral:lncRNA from 1 species